AGGGAUAUAGCUCAGCUGGUAGAGCAAUGGUCUCCAAAACCAUCGGUCGGUAGUUCGAAUCUAUCUGUCCCUG
rnacentral:tRNA from 1 species